AGUGAACGCUGGCGGUAGGCCUAACACAUGCAAGUCGAACGGCAGCACAGUAAUAGCUUGCUCUUACGGGUGGCGAGUGGCGGACGGGUGAGGAAUACAUCGGAAUCUACUUUUUCGUGGGGGAUAACGUAGGGAAACUUACGCUAAUACCGCAUACGACCUACGGGUGAAAGCAGGGGAUCUUCGGACCUUGCGCGAUUGAAUGAGCCGAUGUCGGAUUAGCUAGUUGGCGGGGUAAAGGCCCACCAAGGCGACGAUCCGUAGCUGGUCUGAGAGGAUGAUCAGCCACACUGGAACUGAGACACGGUCCAGACUCCUACGGGAGGCAGCGGUGGGGAAUAUUGGACAAUGGGCGCAAGCCUGAUCCAGCCAUACCGCGUGGGUGAAGAAGGCCUUCGGGUUGUAAAGCCCUUUUGUUGGGAAAGAAAAGCAGCAGGUUAAUACCCCGCUGUUCUGACGGUACCCAAAGAAUAAGCACCGGCUAACUUCGUG
rnacentral:rRNA from 1 species